UGGGGAAUUGUUCGCAAUGGGCGCAAGCCUGACGACGCAACGCCGCGUGGAGGAUGAAGGUCUUCGGAUUGUAAACUCCUGUUGCCCGGGACGAAUGGCCCUGACCUAACACGUCGGGGUGUGACGGUACCGGGUGAGGAAGCCCCGGCUAACUCUGUGCCAGCAGCCGCGGUAAUACAGAGGGGGCAAGCGUUGUUCGGAAUUACUGGGCGUAAAGGGCGCGUAGGCGGCCUGCUAAGUCGAACGUGAAAUCCCCGGGCUCAACUCGGGAACUGCGUUCGAUACUGACAGGCUUGAAUCCGGGAGAGGGAUGCGGAAUUCCAGGUGUAGCGGUGAAAUGCGUAGAUAUCUGGAGGAACACCGGUGGCGAAGGCGGCAUCCUGGACCGGCAUUGACGCUGAGGCGCGAAAGCCAGGGGAGCAAACGGG
rnacentral:rRNA from 1 species